GGAAUUUAGCUCAGUGGUAGAGCACGUGCCUAGCAAGCGCAAGGCCCUGGGUUCGGUCCCCAGCUCCG
rnacentral:tRNA from 1 species